AAAACCAACCAACCAAACCCCAACCUUGAGUCAGCAUUAAAGGAAGAAGAGAUCAGUGAACUGAACUGAAUCAGCCCUGAAUACAAGUGAAACAUCAGUAAGGAAGGUAUAAGAGCAAAUCCUCUCUGACAUCCAUCCUUUUCAAUGUUCAGCUGUUGUUUAUCCUAAAAGAAGCAGGCCUUGCUUCUGUGGGAGAGCAGGACCCUGCAGGCCUUCCUAUCAGGGAAAGGGUAGCAGGUGAAGACAGGUCCAUGGGUGACAAGCAAAGUGUGGCAUGUGUAAGUCCUGUGGUUCAGGAAAGCGAGGAAGAAGAUUACCCAUGAAAAAGGACAAGUUCUCAGAACAGCGGGAGAGGAGAGGAGCUAUCACUACCCUGAGCCACAGCCCCACUAAAGCCUCACUUAGCUCACUUAGAAUAUCAUGGACCUUCACUGACCUCUGAGUUGCUAGCUCCAGUCUUACUCUAGAAACCCUAUUCUCUCCCCCCACAACCCAUCUGUUCUGUCCGCUGAAGCCUCCACUGAAUCUUUUUAGCCUCUUUCUUCCAUCUGCUGUGACCCAUAUUGCUGCUUCCAUAAAACUGAUUCUGCCUACACUGCUGAGAAGCCUUCAGCUGAGUUAGCAUAUACAAUAUGGAUUGUUGGUGUCAUAUGGCCUAUAUAUUUAUCUUUCUAUAAAUAGAUUUAUUGUCUGGAUAUGCAGCCAAGGUUCCUAUGAACAUUCUUAACUUUUUGCCGAUGAAUAUUUAAAAUAUAAAUCUAGGCACCUGUUAAGUUGCUUGCAAAACUGGAGAACUAAUAUCCAGAUGGUUAGACACAGGAUCUGUAUCUAAGAUUCAACUUCAUUCUCAGUCCGUGGACAUAUUUAGGGCUAUUGAUGAUAGAUCUUUGCUUCCAAAUCCAUGUAAUGAAUGCUGAGAGCAAGGUUUGAACUAAACUGCAAAGGUCACUCUGACUAUUUUAUCGUAUCGUUGUUUAUCACAGUCAAGAGAUUUCUGGAAAAAAAAAAAAUCACUCAAUUUUUUUCAGUUCUGAUUUAAAUUUUGCAGUAUAUAAAUCUGUAUUUCUUCAUGAGAAGAGGUUUUCAAUUUAAAACUUAAAAGACAUCUGAACACUUUGGAAAGGAUAGCAGUCAGACUGACCAUUUAGCAAAUCUUUGAAGCAAAGUGCUGAUAUUGUAGUGAAUCCAGAUCUAAUUUUCAACAUUAAAAAUUAUUUCUGCCAGUUCCCUGUGACCAAUACAGAACCUGCACUAAUCCAGAACAGUAUCAAUUAACCACAGACACCCAGCUGUAAGAGCUACUUUAGCAGACAGGUGGAAUUGGACUAAUUAUCAUACAAGGUUACGCAGAAGGAAAAAAGACCUGCAGUCUCUCUAGGAGAAUUACAGGCCUGUGAUGGCCCCCUCCUUUUGCUGCAAUUACCUCUAACUCACACCUGACAAGCUGUAGGGAAGCAUUCCCAUGGUUUGUAGCUGAGAACACAGUCAGGUAAACUGUUUUAGUUGGAUUAAAAAUCCUCCAUAUCUCCACUCGUUUCAAAGAACACCAUACUGUAACUGUUUCUGCAGUAAAAUGUAUAUAUAGAAAUCACAUUAGAAAUUAGCCUUUAUGAUUGUUAUUAUUAUUGUUAUUAUUAUUAUUAACAAGCUUUAAGUUGAGAUACCAUUGAAAGACCCUAGCCUCAGAACAAUUCUUACCAUCCUUGCUAAACUGAGAUACCUUUCUACCCAGAUUUGAGAAUGUAGUUUCUCUGUUGAAGGAGACCAGGGUGUAGAGAGGAAUCUGCAGAAGCAUUUGUGCUGAGUAAAGAAUAUGCUCAAUUUGUAAGCAAGAAGUGAACAAGAAUGAAAUUACAAGGCCUAAAUCUUUGAAGAGCUAUCAGAGUUAUAUUUCAGAAGCAGAAUGGCACCUCUUUCACUUGGGAUUCUCAGUUAUGAAUCUUAAGCCUAGACUGUAAGUCAUCUUCUUCCUGGAGUUCAUGAAAGAGCAGUCUUUUUCUUCCCCUCAAAAGUCUGGCAUUCUAACCCAUACCUUGGAGAAGAUGAGUUGUAGAACCUGGGAGAAAGAUCUCAAUCAUCCUUGUGAAGUACCCUUAUCACUGUUUUGUAAUUGUACUCUCACUUACAAUGGUUAUAUCAAUCUAGAUAUUUUUAAAAGUGAUGGGGCCAGAACUGUGGGAUCAAGCAUCCAAAUUUUUGUGGCAGAUGAUUGCUGAUAUUAAGAAUCCAGCUCUUUAUGCCUGCAGCAAAUUGUUGACAAGUCCUCCUGAUGGUCUUUUAGAAGAUGGAAUAAUCAAAUGAGUACAAAUUACUUAAAAAUAAUAGAGUUUUAGAGAAAGUAGUUUGUGAGAUUGUUAACUGAAAAUUUUUAUUUUCUUGAAAGAAAAUUGUGUUAAUUGCAAUUGCUCUCAUUCAUUG